rnacentral:rRNA from 1 species
GCGGCAGGCCUAACACAUGCAAGUCGAGCGGUAGAGAGAAGCUUGCUUCUCUUGAGAGCGGCGGACGGGUGAGUAAUGCCUAGGAAUCUGCCUGGUAGUGGGGGAUAACGUCCGGAAACGGACGCUAAUACCGCAUACGUCCUACGGGAGAAAGCAGGGGACCUUCGGGCCUUGCGCUAUCAGAUGAGCCUAGGUCGGAUUAGCUAGUUGGUGGGGUAAUGGCUCACCAAGGCGACGAUCCGUAACUGGUCUGAGAGGAUGAUCAGUCACACUGGAACUGAGACACGGUCCAGACUCCUACGGGAGGCAGCAGUGGGGAAUAUUGGACAAUGGGCGAAAGCCUGAUCCAGCCAUGCCGCGUGUGUGAAGAAGGUCUUCGGAUUGUAAAGCACUUUAAGUUGGGAGGAAGGGCAGUAAAUUAAUACUUUGCUGUUUUGACGUUACCGACAGAAUAAGCACCGGCUAACUCUGUGCCAGCAGCCGCGGUAAU